GUCUCCAGAGAUGGUCUGGAGAAGGGAAGAGGGAAUGGGGUUGAGUUGAUGAGGGAAGUGAGGAAGGGGAGGUCUCCAGAGAUGGUCUAGAGAAGGGAGGAGGGGUUGAGUGGGCAGGUUGUCGGGCGGACGGACAUCACUAAUCGCAGGAUUUUAUCUGGAGUGAGAGGGGAGAAAGAGGUCAAGGCGUAUGGUAGUUAUGGAGAGAGAUGGGAGAAAGAGGUCAAGGCGUAUGGUAGUUAUGGAGAGAGAUGGGAGAAAGAGGUCAAGGCGUAUGGUAGUUAUGGAGAGAGAGGGGAGAAAGAGGUCAAGGCGUAUGGUAGUUAUGGAGAGAGAGGGGAGAAAGAGGUCAAGGUGUAUGGUAGUUAUGGAGAGAGAUGGGAUAAAGAGGUCAAGGUGUAUGGUAGUUAUGGAGAGAGAGGGGAGAAAGAGGUCAAGGUGUAUGGUAGUUAUGGAGAGAGAGGGGAGAACGAGGUCAAGGUGUAUGGUAGUUAUGUGUGAGUGGGACCAGUGGACUCAGUAGGCUGAGUGAAUGAGGAGCAGAUGCCCUCUAGUGACCACUAUUCCAACACUAUAGUCAAUUACUUUGGGCCAAAGUCUCCCAAAGCUGUCUAAUACAUCUGGUCUAAAGUAGUGCACUAGGAAGGGAACAGGGCUCUGGUCUAAAGUAGUGCACUAUGAAGGGAACAGGGCUCU
rnacentral:lncRNA from 1 species